CAGGUUAUAAUUAGCGCCACUCUGCUCCCACGUUCUGACCCUAGCGGAAAAAGGAGCGAACUAUACUAGGCGUGCUGGAACAGGGAGAUAUGUGCAGGUCUGGAGUUGUAGCUGUGGUUGUAGGUCGUGCUCGUCCCCACCGCUGCUUUGACACGUUACGCCAUCUGCUCGAAAAAAGCCCGGCACUCCCUAUAGGCUCUGUACAGUUAAGCUUGCGGCUACUCUGCCGCAGCAAUGCGACAGCACUGGGAAGGUGGCUCUGCGGCCCAGCCGGUUCGAGACGUAUUACCUCAUGCGCCCUGCACUUCGUGUUGGCCAUGGUUUGGGCCAUUUUGCUUUGUUAAUUAGCCCUCCAACUUUUUCCUGAUAUGUCUUGCGAAAGUGCAAUGGCAUGCGCCUCAUGGGCAAGCGGCGAAAUUAUGGAGGUGCGAAAAAGAACAAGUGGAACUGGCAAUACUGCUGCGUGAGAGACUCAUAGCCACGAAGGCCAGCUCGGGAUAAAUUGGUACAUGCUUCCUGGCAGGCCUUACGAACCAGAAUGGGAGGGGAGUUAAGUAAUAUUUUGUCAUCAUAUUUGGGAGAAGGGUUUGUUUUGUAAAUCAUGCUACACGUGCACAUUUUGCGCUUUUGCGAUGCCAGCAGUCAUGGCCAGGUCAGCUGCUCAACAUUUAAAAGACAUUUGCCACAACUGUGCUGAUUUGACGACUGCUUAAUGUGGCCUUAGCAUUUGGUAUGAUCAGGAUAACACUGACAUGUGUGCAGUGACAUAGUAACGGGUGGGGUGGAGGGGUGCCAGGUGGGGGGGUGUCAUAUAUGUCUGACACCUUGCUAAUUUCCCCUCUUUCUGCUGGCUUGAUCGGGUGUAAAUCAUAAAGAAUGCUCUGGUAACCAGCAGCCCGAGCUCAUGUACCUGAUGUGUAGUGCUACAUAAUUCUCGGCUGCAGCUUUAUCAACAACGUAUGUGAUAAUUGCACGAAUGUGCGGGCUAAAAAAUUUAAUUCGCCAAGUGGCCGCUAAACUACUCACCUUAGUGGAACAUUUCAUGGGCAAUGUGCUCGUGCAAUGCGCUCAUGUCUCACCAUGGUUUGUGUGUCGUCAGUAUGUACAGAGUGUUCCAUUUAUCAGUUUUGUAUCAGUUUCACUGUGUUGAAUAAAAACACUGUUUCCGAGUCAUA